GGGAAGGAGAGUGAGGCCCGAGAACCCGCCGACCCCCCUCGCGCCCUCCUCCGCGUGCCUUUGGGUUUCCAUGGUGACCCACGGCCCUUCACAAAGCCCCGGCGCUGAGACGCGCUGAUGCACGAGUCCCCUGGGAGGGCUCUGGGGCGGGUCCCGAAGACACAGCACCUCCCCUCCCCCUGCACGACCCCACCCGAGGGGCUGAAACAAUGCCCCGGCCGCCUCACCCGGUGGCUGCCGGGCCUGCCCUUUGCCGCCGGCUUCCCUCCCGGACCCAGUACGACGCCUUCGAAGCGGGCGCUCGGCGAGGUCGCACGCUGGAGCGGGCGGGGUGGACGUUAGAGAAAAAUAUCCUCACGGCUUGAAUUCACAACCCCGAGAUCAAGAGUCACGUGCUCCACCCACUGAGCCAGCCAGGAUCUGGGUCCCUCUGAAGCUGGCUGCUCCUGUUCCUUGCUGCUUUUCCUGAGGGGACGUUCCAGCCCAGAAAAUCUGAUAACUUCAAAAUGAUUCCGCAGUCAUGUGACCAAUUUGCAUUAUGAAGUGAACCUUGGAGACUCAGUUCUCUGGAAUGACGCUGAUUUUCUCAUGUAUUACCUCUGUUACAGAGGAAAGCCAUGCAGUCUUCUCCUUCUUAAAUAAACCAAUUACACAAGCAACAUGCACACUGCUCAGAGAUGGCCAGUCCGGGCACCUCCUUGGGUUCCACGGGUCUGUUCCUGGCUCUGGACAGUGUCCCUGGCGUCAUCCCUGCAAGUCAGGUAUCACAUUUACUAUCAAGGCAAUUUCAAAAGUAAGAAAACUUCUCUUAAUCAAAAUGAGUCAUCUGGUCCUUGUAAAACAGAGGCUGAACUCUGCCAGGUUCGUGUUGUCUGGUCGUUAGUAAAUAGAUAAAUAUUUUUAUUUAACAUUGUACAAAAGGACAGGAACCAUAGACUCCUAAGCAUUCAAGCUAAAACCAAGUCAAACCUUUCCUAGAUAACAAAGGGAAGGUGAGACAGCAGGGACCACGGAUGGAAAUUCCUCCACAUAAAUGCCCAUCCCAGUGAUGGGCAGCUGGGUGCUUCUUCCCCCAGGGGUGCUCUCUCUCUGGCGAGCAGGAAAGGCUUACAGAGAUGGGGCCAGGGCUCAGCCAAGCCCUUCCUGAAUGCCUCGGAUCCUCCUGGCCAGCUGUACAUCCUUCGGGAAGAGAGUAACACGGCCAGCAUGUAAGGAGAGAAGAUAGGCGUCCUCAAAGAGAUGAACUAGAAAUGCUUCUGCAGCCUGGGGGCAGAUAGAAGAGUCCAAGGAUUGACACCCGAGGGGGCAUGAGCUACUUUCUUCUCUCAGAGCCCGCGGUGCUUAGUCCCUGAGGGUUUCUGGGACUGUCUGCAAGACUGCCCACAGAGUGAAGGGGAGCCUGGGAAUUCUGCUACCACCCAACAGGGAUCUGGCCUCCACACCCUGGGUGUUCCUUGAUGCUCUAAGGAGGCAAGAAUCCCGUGUGGCAUGCCUGUCAGCCCUGUGCAAUUCCGGAAUGCCUUUCCCCCGUUCUCACCCAACUGUACCUGGGCCCCCUUCUUACCUCUUGCAGGGCCAACAGGGCCUGGGCUUGCCAAGAGAAGUCCACACCGCGUGUGAAUUUAACACAUAUCUCUCUCACCUGUGAAGGAGUGGGGAUGGGGAGCCAA